AUUGAACGCUGGCGGCGUGCCUAACACAUGCAAGUCGAGCGGUAACAGGUGUAGCAAUACAUGCUGACGAGCGGCGGACGGGUGAGCAAUAUUUGGGAAUCUGCCUAUUAGUGGGGGAUAACCCGGGGAAACUCGGGCUAAUACCGCAUACGCUCUACGGAGGAAAGCCGGGGACCGCAAGGCCUGGCGCUAAUAGAUGAGCCCAAAUCGGAUUAGCUAGUUGGGGAGGUAAUGGCUCACCAAGGCGACGAUCCGUAGCUGGUUUGAGAGAACGACCAGCCACACUGGAACUGAGACACGGUCCGGACUCCUACGGGAGGCAGCAGUGGGGAAUAUUGGACAAUGGGCGAAAGCCUGAUCCAGCGACGCCGCGUGGGUGAAGAAGGCCUGCGGGUUGUAAAGCCCUUUCGGUUGGGAAGAAAAGUAUCGGCUUAAUGCGUCGGUACCUUGACGUAACCAACAAAAGAAGCACCGGCUAACUCUGUGCCAGCCGCCGCGGUAA
rnacentral:rRNA from 1 species